UACGGGAGGCAGCAGUGAGGAAUAUUGGUCAAUGGACGAGAGUCUGAACCAGCCAAGUAGCGUGCAGGAUGACGGCCCUAUGGGUUGUAAACUGCUUUUAUAAGGGAAUAAAGUGAGUCUCGUGAGACUUUUUGCAUGUACCUUAUGAAUAAGGACCGGCUAAUUCCGUGCCAGCAGCCGCGGUAAUACGGAAGGUCCGGGCGUUAUCCGGAUUUAUUGGGUUUAAAGGGUGCGUAGGCGGCCUUUUAAGUCAGCGGUGAAAGUCUGUGGCUCAACCAUAGAAUUGCCGUUGAAACUGGGGGGCUUGAGUAUGUUUGAGGCAGGCGGAAUGCGUGGUGUAGCGGUGAAAUGCAUAGAUAUCACGCAGAACCCCGAUUGCGAAGGCAGCCUGCCAAGCCAUUACUGACGCUGAUGCACGAAAGCGUGGGGAUCAAACAGGAUUAGAUACCCUGGUAGUCCACGCAGUAAACGAUGAUCACUAGCUGUUUGCGAUACACUGUAAGCGGCACAGCGAAA
rnacentral:rRNA from 1 species